UAGUAACGGCGAGUGAAGCGGGAUGAGCUCAAGCUUAAAAUCUCCGUACAAGUUUUGUAUGGCGAAUUGUAGUCUAUAGAGGCGUGGUCAGUGUGGGCACUUGGGGUAAGUUCCUUGGAAGAGGACAGCAUGGAGGGUGAUACUCCCGUUUAUCCCUGAGUGGCUCGUGCGUACGACCCGUUUUCUUUGAGUCGCGUUGUUUGGGAAUGCAGCGCAAAGUAGGUGGUAAAUUCCAUCUAAAGCUAAAUAUUGGUGCGAGACCGAUAGCAUACAAGUACCGUGAGGGAAAGAUGAAAAGAACUUUGAAAAGAGAGUUAAAGAGUACCUGAAACUGCUGAAAGGGAACCGAAUCGUUUCCAGUGUCUAUAAUCCGUGACAUAUUUCAUUGGCGAGUGUGUGCGUGCGUGUGCUAUGGCAGCGGCUUUUUUGGCUGCGCUUGGCGUGUGUGCUGUGUGUGCUUGCUGGUGCCCUGUGCUGCGGUGGGACGUCAAUGAGAGUUCGUAUACUGCGGGAAAUGACUGCCGAGGAGGUAGGGCUUACGCUUGCGUUUGUCUGUUAUAUCUUGGUGGACGAGUAGUCGCGGUUGGGACUGAGGUGCCUACAACGUGCUUUUGAGUGGGUUCGUGUCUCCGUGUGCGCCGUGUGCAGAUAGCUUGCUAUGUGUGUGUGGUGGUGUGUGGAUUGAAGCGAGCCUUAACUUGUUGCCGUUC
rnacentral:rRNA from 1 species